rnacentral:rRNA from 1 species
CCUACGGGGGCAGCAGUGGGGAAUAUUGGACAAUGGGCGAAAGCCUGAUCCAGCCAUGCCGCGUGUGUGAAGAAGGCCUUCGGGUUGUAAAGCACUUUCAGUGGGGAAGAAAGCCUUGGGGCUAAUACCCUCGAGGAAGGACAUCACCCACAGAAGAAGCACCGGCUAACUCCGUGCCAGCAGCCGCGGUAAUACGGAGGGUGCGAGCGUUAAUCGGAAUUACUGGGCGUAAAGCGCGCGUAGGCGGUCUGAUAAGCCGGUUGUGAAAGCCCCGGGCUCAACCUGGGAACGGCAUCCGGAACUGUCAGGCUAGAGUGCAGGAGAGGAAGGUAGAAUUCCCGGUGUAGCGGUGAAAUGCGUAGAGAUCGGGAGGAAUACCAGUGGCGAAGGCGGCCUUCUGGACUGACACUGACGCUGAGGUGCGAAAGCGUGGGUAGCAAACAGGAUUAGAUACCCGAAGUAGUC